ACAAACUUGGUCAUUUAGAGGAAGUAAAAGUCGUAACAAGGUCUCCGUAGGUGAACCUGCGGAGGGAUCAUUACAGAGUUCAUGCCCCUAGGGGUAGAUCUCCCACCCUUUGUUAUCAUUACCUCUGUUGCUUUGGCGGGCCGUCAGGCCUCGGUCAGGCUACCGGCUCCGGCUGGUAAGCGCCCGCCAGAGGACCCUAAACCCUGAAUAUUAGUGUUGUCUGAGUACUAUAUAAUAGUUAAAACUUUCAACAACGGAUCUCUUGGUUCUGGCAUCGAUGAAGAACGCAGC
rnacentral:misc_RNA from 1 species